rnacentral:lncRNA from 1 species
CACUCAUAACUCACACUCACAGUCACAGUUACACUCACACUCACAGAUAUAUACUACACAUAUAUGCGUGUUGUGUAUGGACUGUUGUGUGUAUAUAUACGAGAUACAUAUAUUGAUAUGUUUAUGCGUGUAUGUAUACAGUUGCUUGUUAUCAGUUGUAUACAAUUAUCAAUAUAUAUAUAUAUAUAUAUAUACUAAUAUGUGCACACACAUGCACCCAUACGCGUUGAUAAGUGCGUAUAUAUUGUGUUUGCAUACACUUAUACAUGCCUUCUUUAUACACUGAAAUAUAUGAUCAUAUAAACAUAUAUUAACAGUUUAUAUAUAAAUAUAUAUAAACAGUGUGUCUAUAUAUAUAUACUGAUAUGUUUAUACGUGUAUGUUUAAACUAGCUAUCAGUUAUAUAUACUAGCUAUCAGUUAUAUGUUUAAACCAGCUAUCAGUUAUAUGUUUAAACUAGCUAUCAGUUAUCAGUUUAUACGUGUAUGUUUAAACUAGCUAUUCAGAUAUAUAUGAAUAUAUAUACACUUUUUAUCAGUUUCUACUGUUAUUAGCGUACCCGUACAUUACUGUGUAUAUGAAUGCACAGGUGGCUAUUGCAGCCAAUAAGGUAAAUGGACAUAUCCCCCCACCCCUCCUUUUUGAUUAUUUUCUUCUCAAUUCUUUCCAUUCAAAUCAUUUUCUUCCAUUUGAAUGAUUUUUCCUUAUACAAUUUUCCAAACUGUGAUAAAUUCAGACCUUAAAGAAUUAUUUCUUCUAGCUAUCACCUCUAAUCAGAUAAGCCUAGGCGAAAUUCUAUAUUAAUUUGUAUAGAAUUAGGCAUAAAAAUGGGUUUCUUCUCUUGGUGAAUUGUGUAUGCUAAAUACCCAAUUGUGAUAGUCCAUCUAAAUUUUGUCUUAUUUGUACUUGUUUUUAUUAUUAUUGAUGAGCUUCAUCUUCAUCGAGUUUUCUUGUAAAGCAACAAGCAUUAAAGCAACUUAUCAUCGAGAUGGAUCUCUUUACAUUAUUCGAUAUUUGUGAUCUUGAUCUUGCAAGCUUGAUUUGAUUAAUGGUUCUUUCUUCUCUAGUAUAGUACUUAUCUUGCUUCUUUCAUGCAAAAAAUGGAGUGAAUUUUCUGAAACUUUACUUGUGGUUUGCAAUUUUAUUAAGUAAAUUUUUCUUAAUACACACACUCUCUUAACACACACACACGCUUCAUUAAGUAACUUUUUCUUAACACACACACACUCUUUCUUCUUUCAUGCAAAUAUGGAGUGAAUUUUCUAGAGUAUUAUUUGUGGUUUGCAAUUGUAUUAAGUAACUCUUUCUUAACACACACUCACACUCACAUUCACAUUCACACUCACACUCAGUCUCACUCUCACACUCACACUCACACUCACACUCACUCUCACACUCAGAUACACACAUACACACUCACACUCACAUACACUCACACUCACACGAACACACACACACACUCACACUCACACACACUCACACACACAUACUCAUACACUCACACACGCUCACUCUCACACAUUCACGCUCAUGCUCACAUUCACACUCAGAUAUAUAGUACACUUAUACACAUGUUGUGUAUGGACUGAUGUGUGUAUAUAUACUAUGAUAUGUUUAUGCACGUAUAUAUACAGUUGUUUGCUAUCAGUUAUAUACAACUAUCAAUGUAUGUAUAUAAUGAUACCUGCACGCACACGUACCCUUACGCAUUGAUAAGUGCGUAUGUAUGGUAUAUGUUUGCACUAAUACAUGCAUAAUAUAUACUGAUAUAUAUGACCAUAUAGACAUUUAUUAGCACUUUACAUAUAUAUAUAUAUACAUAUAUAUAUAUAUAUAUAUAGUUACGAUAUGUAUAUACUGAUAUGUUUUUGCGUGUAUGUAUAAACUUCCUAUCAGUUAUAUAAACACUGAUAUGCGCCUACACAUGCACCCUUACGCAUUGAUAGGGCAUACGUACAUUCUUAUAGACACUGAUAUGUAUGACCUUAUGGACACUUCUUAUCAGUUUAUACAGUUAUUGGUGUUUAUGUACAUUGAUAUGUAUAUACUCACUCAUGUGCAUAUCUG